AGUGAACGCUGGCGGCAGGCCUAACACAUGCAAGUCGAGCGGACGAAUGGAGCUUGCUCCCGGAUGCCGCGGCGGACGGGUGGGUAAUGCCUAUGAGUCUGCCUUACCUUUGGGGAUAACGUCCUGAUACGGAAGCUGAUCUCGCACACGACCAGAUAUAGAAAGUGGGGGUUCUUCGGUCCUAUCGCUUUCUGAUGAGCCUAAGGGGGAUUAGCUAGUUGGAGGGGUAAAUGCAUACCGAGGCGACGAUGCGUAACUGGCAUGAGAGGGCGACCAGGCACACUGGAAGUGAGACACGCUCCAGACUCCUACGGGAGGCAGCAGUGGGGAAUCUUGGGCAAUGGGCGAAAGCCUGAUCCAGCGAAGCCGCGUGAGUGAUGAAGGUCUUCGGAGUGUAAAGCGCUGUAAGUUGGGAGGAAGGAAAGUAAGUUCACCCGUGGCUGUAUUGACGGUACCCAGAGAAGAAGCACCGGCUAACUUCGUG
rnacentral:rRNA from 1 species